rfam:Populus trichocarpa isolate Nisqually-1 chromosome 5, whole genome shotgun sequence.
UAAUCUUUCUAGGGAAAAUCCUUAUUUAAUUAUGGCAGACCCACAUAUGACUGUUCAGAAUCACCCGUGAAAACUAUUAUGUGAACAAUAAUUUUUUUAAGAUUUUAAU